ensembl:lncRNA FAM230H family with sequence similarity 230 member H
AGGGAUCUUCUGCCCUUGGUCCUAAGUGCCACUAUCUGUGCUGAGUUUUUCAAAGGUCAGAGCAGAUUGAACCAUUGUGGUUUCAUUUUCCCUGAUUUUGAUUUUUCUUAUGGGGAACCUGUGUGGCUGCAUUCAAGGUGACUCGAAGAAGCCUUCCAAAAAGCAUGUGAAAAGGAAGCCCUACUCUACUACCAAGGUGACUUCAGGGAGCACAUUCAAUGGUACGUAUUCUGGAAUCACUCACUGGUUGUUAGAAAAGGAUUCUACAGGAAAUCUGGAGCUUAACUGCUGGCUUUUGUCUGGAGAGCCUCCAUGAUCCAAGACAUCUGAGAAUACAAGAAGAUAUGCUGUGCACACCAACCAGUGUAGGAGACCUCAUGGCUCCCGGGUAAAGAAGAAGAGGUACCCACAAGAAG